rnacentral:rRNA from 1 species
ACUCCUACGGGAGGCAGCAGUGGGGAAUUUUGGACAAUGGGGGCAACCCUGAUCCAGCCAUGCCGCGUGAGUGACGAAGGUCUUCGGAUUGUAAAACUCUUUUGGCGGGGACGAUAAUGACGGUACCCGCAGAAUAAGCCCCGGCUAACUUCGUGCCAGCAGCCGCGGUAAUAC